rnacentral:rRNA from 1 species
UACAGAGGGGGCAAGCGUUUAUUCGGAAUUAUUGGGCGUAAAGGGCGCGUAGGCGCCUAGCAAGUGGAUGGUGAAAUCCCUCGGCUUAACCGAGGAACUGCCAUCCAGACUGCUUGGCUUGAGACCGGGAGAGGUGAGUGGAAUUCCCAGUGUAGCGGUGAAAUGCGUAGAUAUUGGGGAGGAACACCAGUGGCGAAGGGCGGCUC